GUGAAUGAGUUUGUCCCCGUGAUAGACUGGUGGCCUCUUCAGGGUGUACCCCACCUCUUGACCAAUGACUGCUGGGUUAGGCUCCAGCUCCCCCAUGACGCUUAAUUGGAAUAAGCAAGUAUAGAGACAAUGAAUGACAUCUAAUAUACAUACCUAUUAGCAAAGUUAUUCUUUUUUAUUAUAUAGAGUUUAUGUUAAUGGGCCUAACUGGAAGUGGAAAUUUAUUUUAUUACCUAAAAUUGUUCCACAGGUUUCCAGUAUUUACCAUGGGGCUGAGGGGUAAUGUGCUUACUACACGAUGCCUGUUUUUACAUCUGUGGCAGCCACACAUUAUUAUGUACUGAAAGAUGCUGUCUAAUAAGAGCAAGUGACUUCUUGUGCACUUGAAAUAAUUCAGCCCAUUUUUGGUUUUAUAUGAGAUCCCCUAUCACCCUUUUUAGUCGCUUUAUCCACUGCAGUUCAGUCAUUGUGCAGCUCAGCUUCACUGAAAAAGUGACCAAAAAGCUCCAGCUAUGCAACAAAUCUGACAGCAUCAUGAUUGGAGAGCUGCUUCAUUCACCCCGUUUGGAGCAUUUGUCCCAGUUGUUAAUUUCACAGAAAUUAAGAUGAAGUAAUAAUGCAUAAUAACGUGGUGGACGUGUGCUAUGCCCGGUCUUUAUCUGUGCUGUGUUAUGCGUUGGUGUGGCCGGUGAAAAUCAUGAGCAAAUAUUGAUACAAUACUCCUUUGGAUUGUAGGCUUGGCUUUGCUAAUGACGUAGCUGUACUUAAUCCACAGUCUCUGAAGUCAAAGCCAAGCUGUCUGCCGUCACGUGCAAAAUAC